ensembl:snRNA U6 U6 spliceosomal RNA
GUGCUGCCUUUGGCAGCACACAUACCAAAAUUGGAAUGAUACAGAGAAGAUUAGCACAGCCCCUGUGCAAAGAUGACACACAGAUGUAAAUGCCACAUCUCU